rnacentral:rRNA from 1 species
GGACUACUGGGGUAUCUAAUCCUGUUUGCUCCCCACGCUUUCGCACAUGAGCGUCAGUAUUGGGCCAGGCAGUCGCUUUCGCCACUGAUGUUCCUUCCGAUAUCUACGCAUUUCACCGCUACACCGGAAAUUCCACUGCCCUCUCCCAUACUCCAGUAAUGCAGUCUCGAAUGCAGUUCCCAGGUUGAGCCCGGGGCUUUCACACCCGACUUACAAAACCGCCUACGCGCGCUUUACGCCCAGUAAUUCCGAUUAACGCUCGCACCCUCUGUAUUACCGCGGCUGCUGGCAC